AUUGAACGCUAGCGGCAGGCCUAACACAUGCAAGUCGAGCGAGCGGCGGACGGGUGAGUAAUGUCUGGGAAACUGCCUGAUGGAGGGGGAUAACUACUGGAAACGGUAGCUAAUACCGCAUACCAUCAGAUGUUCCCAGAUGGGAUUAGCUAGUAGGUGGGGUAAUGGCUCACCUAGGCGACGAUCCCGCUCUGGUCUGAGAGGAUGACAAGCAAAACUGGAACGGAGACACGGUCCAGACUCCUAAGGGAGGCAGCAGUGGGGAAUAUUGCACAAUGGGCGCAAGCCUGAUGCAGCCAUGCCGCGUGUGUGAAGAAGGCCUUCGGGUUGUAAAGCACUUUCAGCGGGGAAGCGUUCUCGCAGAAUAGCACCGGCGAACUCCGGGCCAGCAGCCGCGGUAAUAC
rnacentral:rRNA from 1 species